rnacentral:rRNA from 1 species
AGUGAACGCUGGCGGUAGGCCUAACACAUGCAAGUCGAACGGCAGCACAGUAAGAGCUUGCUCUUACGGGUGGCGAGUGGCGGACGGGUGAGGAAUACAUCGGAAUCUACUUUUUCGUGGGGGAUAACGUAGGGAAACUUACGCUAAUACCGCAUACGACCUACGGGUGAAAGCAGGGGAUCUUCGGACCUUGCGCGAUUGAAUGAGCCGAUGUCGGAUUAGCUAGUUGGCGGGGUAAAGGCCCACCAAGGCGACGAUCCGUAGCUGGUCUGAGAGGAUGAUCAGCCACACUGGAACUGAGACACGGUCCAGACUCCUACGGGAGGCAGCAGUGGGGAAUAUUGGACAAUGGGCGCAAGCCUGAUCCAGCCAUACCGCGUGGGUGAAGAAGGCCUUCGGGUUGUAAAGCCCUUUUGUUGGGAAAGAAAAGCAGCAGGUUAAUACCCCGCUGUUCUGACGGUACCCAAAGACUAAGCACCGGCUAACUUCGUG